GCAUCAAACCCUAAAACUUGAAUCAGUUUACAACCUCAAAACCGCCCUCCAACCUUAUCUCAACGUAACCCCCGUCUUCUUCGUACAACACAUCGCAAAACCACGUUCAAAACCAAAAGACCUUGCUGUAGUUUGUGGGAUGUGAUAAUUGAAUCACAAUUCAUUAUAUACCGGUUAAACAUCGUAAUCAAAAUUGCAUUUUGAAUCCACUCACUUAUAUCUCUGGAGUUCCAGUCGUGUUGGCACCAACCCACCCGCAUAUCACAACCACCGGUCACCGCUUACUGCCGCCGUGAACCAGCCGGAUUUGGAACCGUCGUACCGCCGCCACAACUCCGCCGUAACCACCCCUCCGCUUGUUUCCGUUCAAGUCAGUUUUGCCAGCCACCUCUGCAUAAGUUUAAUCAGCACCGUCCCAUUUAGAUUUGCGCCGCUCCGUCUGAUUAGUUGAGGCUCUCGUACGUUUUGAGGAGGACUUGAAUUGUAUUACUUUGCUUUGCUUGCUAAUAAGGUAAUCUGGGAUAUUAUGGGAUUUCAGUGAGGAGCGUUAGGGAGUUGCUGACCAAGAUUCUUUAUUUCAGUAACGUAAUAAAAUAUAAUUGACCUCCGACUUAGAUUUAUUGGUGAAAGUGAAAUUGAAAUUGACGAAAUAAAGAAGGCUGUAUCUAGUAUUGUGGGUGUUGCAUCUGUUUCGGCUCAUAAAGGAAUGGGAAAACUAACCGUCACUGGAUAUGUUGAUCCUGUAGAAGUGGCAACCUGUCUGAUGGAAUUUGACCACAUGAUGGUGGAGAUCGUAUCUGUUAAAGUAGUAUUUAAUGAAAAAAAAGAGAGUAAUCUUAUAAGUUACAAAUAGUAUUCGAAAAAAAUUAAGACCUGCCUGCAUAACUUUUAAUCCGUUCAUAGUUACGAAUGGUAACAUUUGAAGAUUUUUAAGUAAUUUCCUACUUUUAUUUGAUGGUCAUUAU